AUUACUGGGCGUAAGCGCACGCAGGCGGUUUGUUAAGUCAGAUGUGAAAUCCCCGGGCUCAACCUGGGAACUGCAUUUGAAACUGGCAAGCUAGAGUCUCGUAGAGGGGGGUAGAAUUCCAGGUGUAGCGGUGAAAUGCGUAGAGAUCUGGAGGAAUACCGGUGGCGAAGGCGGCCCCCUGGACGAAGACUGACGCUCAGGUGCGAAAGCGUGGGGAGCAAACAGGAUUAGAUACCCUGGUAGUCCACGCUGUAAACGAUGUCGAUUUGGAGGUUGUGCCCUUGAGGCGUGGCUUCCGGAGCUAACGCGUUAAAUCGACCGCCUGGGGAGUACGGCCGCAAGGUUAAAACUCAAAUGAAUUGACGGGGGCCCGCACAAGCGGUGGAGCAUGUGGUUUAAUUCGAUGCAACGCGAAGAACCUUACCUACUCUUGACAUCCAGAGAACUUUCCAGAGAUGGAUUGGUGCCUUCGGGAACUCUGAGACAGGUGCUGCAUGGCUGUCGUCAGCUCGUGUUGUGAAAUGUUGGGUUAAGUCCCGCAACGAGCGCAACCCUUAUCCUUUGUUGCCAGCGGUUCGGCCGGGAACUCAAAGGAGACUGCCAGUGAUAAACUGGAGGAAGGUGGGGAUGACGUCAAGUCAUCAUGGGCCCUUACGAGUAGGGCUACACACGUGCUACAAUGGCAUAUACAAAGAGAAGCGACCUCGCGAGAGCAAGCGGACCUCAUAAAGGUAUGUCGUAGUCCGGAUUGGGAGUCUGCAACUCCACUCCAUGAAUUCGGAAUCACUAGGGAAUCGUA
rnacentral:rRNA from 1 species